rnacentral:rRNA from 1 species
UGGGGAAUUUUGGACAAUGGGCGAAAGCCUGAUCCAGCAAUGCCGCGUGUGUGAAGAAGGCCUUCGGGUUGUAAAGCACUUUUGUCCGGAAAGAAAUCCUUGGCUCUAAUACAGUCGGGGGAUGACGGUACCGGAAGAAUAAGCACCGGCUAACUACGUGCCAGCAGCCGCGGUAAUACGUAGGGUGCAAGCGUUAAUCGGAAUUACUGGGCGUAAAGCGUGCGCAGGCGGUUUGCUAAGACCGAUGUGAAAUCCCCGGGCUCAACCUGGGAACUGCAUUGGUGACUGGCAGGCUAGAGUAUGGCAGAGGGGGGUAGAAUUCCACGUGUAGCAGUGAAAUGCGUAGAGAUGUGGAGGAAUACCGAUGGCGAAGGCAGCCCCCUGGGCCAAUACUGACGCUCAUGCACGAAAGCGUGGGGAGCAAAACAGGAUUAGAUACCCUGGUAGUCCACGCCCCUAAAACGAUGUCAACUAGUUGUUGGGGGAUUCAUUUUCCUUAGUAACGUAGCUAACGCGUGAAGUUGACCGCCUGGGGAGUACGGUCGCAAGAUUAAAACUUAAAUGAAUUGACGGGGUCAUAGCUGUUUCU